rnacentral:tRNA from 1 species
AUUUAGUUUAUUAAAAUAACUACUUGUCGAGUAGUAGAUGUGUUUACAGUA